CUUGCACACAUCCAGCACCACACACACACAUGCUAUUUUCCUGGGUUCCCUUCAACCUUCUCACCACUGAGGAAGUGAGUGUACAGUGUAUGACAUGCACAGUCUACACUCGACUGAUGAGGAUUUUAAGUGGAUACGUCACAAAUAAGGGGACGGGGAAGAGGGAGGGACGGAGAAGAGGAGAGCAAGGCAUGAACAGAGAAAGAGAGAGAGAGACCGAAAUAUAUUGACUCAAAGCUGGUCUUCAUGGUCCUUAGUGUAUAUGUGUGUGAGAGGCAGGCGUGAGAGCAGUUGAGAUGGAGUACUGGCACAGAUGAAGACUGCCACUGGUCCCGUUCAACAGCCCACAUGAGCGUCUCCAAACCACCACCGCCGCCGACCACCUCCCACCUGACCAUCCCUCCUUCCUCUUCCUCCACACCCUCCUCGUCCGCUUCCUCCCCCUCAGCCACACCCCACUCCUCGGCCCUGCCCCCUCCAUCGCCCGUCAAGAUUUCUAUGCAGGAGCACUUUGCUAUCAACGUGUGCCCGGGCCCCAUCCUCCCUAUACCACAGAUCUCAGAUUUCUUCCCACGCUUCCACGACUACCCCUGCACGCCACCACCUCCACGGGAGAAGAAGAUCCUGAAGGAGGAGACGUUCAAUGGGGACAUGGGCGUAGGCUACAAAGAUGGAGAGAAGCGAGCAGACAACAGUGGGGACCGAGAGGAAGUAGCUGACUCUGAUGAUGACGACACCUAUUUGGGGACACUGGAGUUCACCCUGCUCUUUGAUCAGGAGAACAACUGCCUUCACUGUACUAUUCACAAGGCAAAGGGACUGAAAGCCAUGGACUCCAAUGGGCUGGCUGAUCCAUACGUCAAGCUUCAUCUUCUGCCCGGGGCUAGCAAGGCGAACAAGUUACGCACAAAGACCCUGAAGAACACACUAAACCCUGUUUGGAAUGAGACUCUGGUGUAUCAUGGAAUCACAGCGGCAGAUAUGACCACCAAAACACUCAGGCUGUGUGUAUGUGACAUGGACCGACUUGGACGGAAUGAAUUCAUCGGCGAGGUGAGAGUGGCCCUGAAGAAGCUCAGAGAGGGAGAGAACAAACGCUACAAUAUGGGUUUAGAAAGAAUUGCACACAACAAAGAAUUGAACAAUCAAGCUGUGGAGCAGGGAGCGCUUACUGCAGAGGAGGAGCGUGGCCGUAUCCUGGUGUCAUUGUGCUAUAACACAGAGAAGGGCUGCCUGCUGGUUGGGAUCAUACGCUGCGCCCAUCUGGCCGCCAUGGACUCUAACGGGUACUCUGACCCCUUUGUCAAAAUCAUCUUGCAGCCGGACAUGGGGAAGAAGUCCAAAUACAAGACGUCAGUGAAGAAAAAGACUCUCAACCCUGAAUUCAAUGAGGAGUUUUCCUAUGAGGUGACUCUGGACCAGCUCGCCAAGAAAACUCUGGAGAUCUCCGUGUGGGACUACGACCUGGGAAUGAGUAACGACUUCAUAGGUGGCGUCGAGCUGGGCAUCAAUGCGAGCGGACAGAGACUCAGACACUGGUUCGAGUGUCUCAAAAACAAAGGGAAGAAAGUGGAAUACUGGCAUACGCUCACACAGCAAGGAGCCCCCAGCAGUGACAAACCGGACUAGACGUUGACGCACACACACAACACACACACACACACACACACACACACACAUUUAUCCCCCUAAAAGAGAUCAAGAGAAAAGAAUAAAACAUGCAAUAACACCAAUGCGUUGAAGAUGAAAUGCAUCAUUUAAUGCAUAUUAUUCUUAACUGAUAUCCAUACUGACAUCAGUGAUGUUAAUAAGGUGUGGUGUUUAUUUCUUUAUUUACUUUUGAAGGUAGACCAAACUAUCCUCAUAUGUGUAACAAAGGGAUGCACGCAAAGUUGUCCUUUUAGACCUUGUGGAAGUCACUCGUCGUCCAAACUAAUCAAGAAGUGCAUGAAGGAGGCCAACAUCCGCGUACUGCGACUCUAUUGUCAAUACAACAAUGUUAACUUGUUGUGCUCAGCCAUUGUUACAUAAUGAUAUAAAGCACAAAGUGAUCAUGUCAGUGUUUUUAACUCUUUGUCUGUCUUUCAUUGUCUUUGUGACUGACUCGGUCAUCUGCGUAUGCGUGUGGGUGUGCGUCUCAAGCAGGCAGUGGGAAUUUGAGUGCCUCGAUUGCAUCUGUUUUCACAUUGUGUCCCAUUACGAGUAUCACAACUGAACUUCGAGAAGCACAGUGCAUACGGGUGUGUGUGUGUGUGUGUGUGUGUGUGUGACAGGAAACAAAAAAAUGGCAAGAAAGCAGUGUCGCAGAGAAACACUCUAGCUGCAGUGGCAUGUUUGUUCCUGGAUGGAAGACAGCGACACACUGUCAGCUAUGUGUUGUAUCAUUGCCUCGCAGUCAUACAUACACGUACCGGCCACAACAUUGGCUACACAUUCACAAUCUCCGAUACAAGAGCUGUUUCGAGACUCGUCGAUGCGUCACACUGAGCGUUGUUUCAAAUUCCAAAUUUUUUAAAAACUCCCUUGUAUUGGCUGUCUUUAGAUUUUGUACUGAAUGAAGAGGGUGGUCAUAGUUGACAGUAUCUCACAAAAGUGAGGACAUCCCUCACAUUCCAGCAACCAUUUUAUCAUAUUGUCUAUAAAUAUAAUAUUUUGUAAUAAUGGCUGUGUGUUGAGUCAUUGUCAGGGGAUAGUACACUAAAAGUACACUGCCAUGCAAGCUAUACAUGGACUACUCUAAAGCAGUGGGUCUCAACUGGUGUAUUAAGUGGUGACCUACUUUUAUAGAGGUUUGUUAUUUUAUAACAAUAUUACUAAAAUAAUACAUUUAUACUUUAAUAAAGUAAUUUUACUAAUUAACUAAAAGUUAGUUUUAACUACUGUAAAAUAAAUUAACAAGCUAAUUUAUUUUUAGUUCAAAACAGCCUUCAAUACGUAAUAACAAAAAUAAAAAUACAUUAAAUUACAUGUGUAUAAUUUAUUCCGAGGAGGAACGUCAAUGACAAAAAAAAUGUAUGCUGUAAAUUAAUACAGUCAAACCUGUCUUAGCGGCCACCUUUAUAGAACGGCCACCUGCCUAUAGCGGCCACUGAAAAAUCCCCCGCAGCAAAUUUGCAUGUUGUAGACCCUGUGUAUAGCAGUCACCUGUCAAACAUGGCCAGCGGCCACCCAUUUUGUCUCCCUUGGUCAAUAUCUGACAGCAUAUAGCGACCAAAUUACCGACUCAAGUAGAAGCUUCAUGCACGAAAAAGUUUUGUUUUUUAAGCAAUGAAGCCGUCGUGUGUACAGUAGACUUUAAUUACUGAGUCCUAGCUCAGUCACAAUCAUUCACAAGAUCCACACAAACUGUCAGUUGUUCCACAUAAAAAAAAAGCCGUCUUCUUUGGAGCUUGUUGCAGACAGUGACACCGUUUAUUUCCUGGUGUGAGACAAUGUGCACUGGUCAAUACUGUAAUGCCCCUUGUUGUGAGGAAGGAGAGACUCACGUCGCCGAUGCACUUUAAUCACUUUACUGUAUUAACAGUUGUUUAUUAACCUAGUAGUUCCUUACAACUUUUAUCCGCAGUCCCACAGUGCCCUCUACUGGUCAACAUGUAACUGUAUAAUUAUAUGUAUCUGCAAACAAAACAAGCUUCUAAUCACAGACAUGGUAAUAUGGAGCACAAAUUCAAAAUGGCCGCCAACUUGUCUAUAACGGCCACCUGCCUAUAGCGGCCACUUUUGCCGUUUCCCUUUAGUGGCUGCUACAGACAGGUUUGACUGUAGUUGAUUAAUAUGCUAAUCAAAAAAAUAUUUGUAUUUCAAAAUGAAAAAAAGCCACCAGUUGAGAAACUGCUGUAAAGCAUAUCCAAGCUUAAUUUCUCUGAUCUUGACCUUUGAGAAGAUGACUACAAAUGGUUGCUGAAAUGUGAGGGGUGUGCUCACUUUUGUAAGAUCCUGUAUGCCUUCAUACCUUAGUGCAUUCACGUUGCUGCAUACGCAUGGUCGUGUUCCUUCAACUGUGCAAUAUCAAUCAAUAAAUGAUGCAACUUUUAUUUCAUGCAGGCUAGUAAUUUAUCAAUUUCAGAAUGGGUCUUGUCACUUGAUUUAUGAGAAAAGGGUUGCUUACAGCUCCGGCAUACAAUGCCCUUGAACAGGGUGAAAUCAACAUCUACCAUCAUUUAUGUCAUCACAUAUUUUCAUAAUACUGUUGAAUAUCAGGUUUCUUUACAUACUCUUUAAGUGGCAAAGAUGAUAUGCAAAGUCUGUGUAUAUAAAUAAGCCAGAAAAGAAAUCAUCCCCAGCUGUUACACAAGUUAAGUACAUGUACUGUUUGUGUGCAUGUGGGCUGUAUGUCCUGAGAGGAUAUCGUUUAUCACCACAGCUCUAACCGGGCUCUGGUCCAUGCGCACACGCCCACAGUGGGAGUUUUCAGUCCAAUCGAUCCGUCGAGUCCUUCGACAACCUUGUGACUGUUUCGUUGUUGGCCACACAAUGAAAAAGGGCUCCGGUAUCAAUAAAAGCUGUGAACACUAUUAAAACAGUUAGUUAGUUUCUCUACUUUCUCUAUGCAUCAAAGCCUCUCAGUAUGACAGCAGUGAGAUCAUCAGCACCAAAUUGACAUGGUUGUGAUGCUUUUUCAACACGCUCGCAUGCUUGGCUUUACAUGCAAUGUAGCUGCACGCUUAGCAAUAAUCAUCAGCUUGAAUAGUGGCGUGUGUGCUCAUGUACAUGCCAUUCAUCCUGCCAUCACUCUUGUUUGUCUGUGCAGGCUGCCGUUCAGGAUAUAUGUACACUAUUGUCACUUGUCGCCCAUGAAUGGUUCCAAGUGUUGAUGAUGCAGGCAGGGCUGAAGGAGGGAAUGAUGUAUUCAACGUCACAAUCACACAGUGUGACUGGCAUCAUGUGGUCAUGUUGUGUCACUACUUCUCAAAAUAAACGGAGCCGUUUCAGUGCUUGUCUGCCCUUCCCUUGAAAAUUCCCAGUACUGCCAGUAUAACAUUUACUAGUGAGUUGUCCAUGCAACAGUCUGCAUAUAGUAUGCAAUUCACUAUUUGAUGCAAGGUAACACAAUAAAUAUGCUACAUGCAGUCUCACUGUAAUUGUAAUUGUAACAUUCCAAAAUCAAAGGCUUAAAAAAUAUAUAUAUAUAUGUAUAUAUAUAUAUAUAUAUAUAUACAGUACAUUUACUGUGAAAUCUGCCAACAAGAAAAUAAAGUGGAAAUGGAAUCAAUAUGUGGAAAAAUAAUUUGUGUUUGAAUUUCUGUCAUCACAAAAAUAUUUUGUUUUUGUAAUUCCCACAGACUCCCUGCAGUGAUACUAAGGGACAUGUCAUUGAACACAGUGUUGCUCACCUUCUUCACUGGAACAGGGAGGGGUAAAGCUAUGGGGAGCCAGGGCUGCUGAUGACUAAUUUAUUGUUAUAUCUAGUAAAUGGGGGAGGGACAACAGAUUUAAUAAUACCGUAUUUUCGUGACCAUAAGGCGCACCGUAUUAUUGGGCGCAGGCAGUCAAACAUACGGGCGCUCAAGAGUCAGUCAGGUUUUUGUCUUUGGGCAGAUUAAGAACAGAUCUCUCAUACAGUUUUUCAAACCCACUGGAAAUCACGGAAGGACAUCGCUCAACACAACAGUCUCAGUCAUGGUGCACAACUAAAAACAUCACACAGCAACGCAGCAGAUAGACAAAAACAGACAAGACACUACCGCUAUUUGUGCAGAACAAUAACUGACAACUAUGUAGCUCAAACAUGUAACUUUAAGAGCAUUUGCACCAAAACACUACCGCAAAGCACGCUGGGGAACACAACGUGCUCCCAGCGAACCUACAAUACACUAGCAUGCAUGCACACUAAAACAUACGCUGGCAUGCAUGCACGCUAAAACAUACGCUGGCAUGCACGUUAUCGUAUGUUUUUUAAAAGGCAGCUGGAGCAAAACUGAGUUGGGUUGCACUUUAUUGAAGUAUUUAACAAUGUGCUCACUUUAUUUUUGAUCAAUCCUCAUCCACAAAUCCAUCAAAGUCCUCACCUUCUGUAUUCGAAAUGAACAGCGGGGCAAGUUCUCCAUCAAACACGCCAGGUUCCCUCUCGUCAUUGUCAGAGUCAGUCUCGUUGCCGUGCGGCUCCUCAGAAAUGAUGCCGGCUUUUGCGAAAGCUCGAACAACAAUGCAAGCACACACGUUAGCCCAAGCAUCCACAAUCCAUUCACAAAUUGUUGCGUAACUCGCACGGCGCUGCCUCCCGGUCUUAGUAAAGCUGUGUUCGCCAUCUGUCAUCCAACGCUCCCACGCUGCUCGCAACUUCACUUUGAACGGCCUGUUUACACUGAUGUCCAGCGGUUGGAGUUCCUUCGUCAAGCCUCCCGGAAUGAUGGCAAGCUCCGAGUUCAUUUGCUGCACUUGGUUUUUUUACAGCGGCUGUGAGAUAAGCGCGCAUGGAGUCACAGAUCAACAGGGACGGUGACGCGUGGAAAAAAAACAUCCGGUGUCUUUUUGUAUACAUCACUCAGCCACUCAGCCACUCAGCCACUCCACGUCCGUCCAGCCCAUUUGAUUGGUCUUAACGAUGACUCCAGCUGGAAACUUUUCUUGAGGCAGCGUCUUCCUUUUAAAAAUCACCACAGGUGGCAGUUUGUGUCCAUUACCAUGGCAACCAAGCACAACAGUAAAAGCCAACUUCUCGUGUAUCGCUACCGUGCUGGUCCCCUUCUCUACAGUGUGGUUCACCGGGAUGUCGAAAGUGAGCGGCAUGUCGUCCAUGUUGCUGAUGUGGUUGGGCUGGAUGUGUUUGUCGGCAAUUUUUUUUACUGCACUAGGAGUUGCUGCGCCACGGUAGUCUUUGCCCGAAUGGAUAGAUGGCGCUGUUUUGUUGAUGUUGAAUUCUCUUGCGGCUGCUCGAUUCCCAUGUUCCUCCGUAACUGAUGGCUUGCAGUUUAAACUGUGCUUCAUAAGCUUGUCUCUUUGUAGGUGCCAUUUUCGAGGGUCCUUAGCCAAACCGAUGUUGUUUUGCACAAUGCACUAUGUACUACCUACCGGGGGAGUGCCUUUAGCAUCCUCUUUCACGCCCACCCUUCCCCCUUUAACGUCCGCAUGCUGUCCUCAGUCACGUCCGCCUUUCGUCCAUAUAAGCAGCGUGUUGGCAGGAAAUGCUUCCAGUCAGUCAAGCGGAGCGCUCAUCAAAGUCGCACAACAACAUUAACAGAUUUUGGCAUGAUGCACACAUAAGGCGCACUGCAUUAUAAGGCGCCCCGUUCAUUUUGGAGAAAGUUUAAGACUUUUAAGUGCGCCUUAUGAUCGUGAAAAUACGGUGCAUGCUAAACAUUUACCUGUGCUGAUUAAAUGUUAUUUAAAAGGGAGUGAGAUGGGGGACAGUUCAGGGGACAUUGUUUUAAUUUGUUCCACCAGGCGCCGCAGUGUCCCUGAUCUUCUCCUACAUGUUACAGGUCAUACAUGGUACUGGACCAAAGCAGCAGGGUCUAAAGACUGCUAUCACCUGUCCCACAACCAGGGGUGGAUUGGCCAAAAUUGGGUCUAUGGACACCAGUUUAUGUAUUUAUUGUUGGCCUUAGAAUGUUACACUAUACUGUAUUAUAUGGCAAUAGAUGCACUAGGGACCAAUUGGAAAAUGGCCGUUGAAGAAGCCUGUUUCUCUGUAGACCGCCCACAAGCUCAUUGGCUCUGCCGAAUUUUGCUAACGUGUGAUUAGCCGUCCCCGCUGUCAGUCAAUGAGCGGGUGGAUUUGCACAACAGUGUUUUAUUAGUUGGCUGGAGUCUGCCCGGAUAUGUUAGCUAGACGGUUUUUAAUAUCAGAGGUUUCAUUUAAAUGACAUUUACAUCUGUGCCUGUGUGCACAUGCUUGUGUAUGUGUGUACUUUUGUUUGUCCCCCCCCUUUUAUGAAGCCCUUACGUGAUACUUUCAUCAAAGGAUGCCACAUUGCACACCUCCAAGCUUGCAAGCCACAUGGUGUAAUGCAGGGGUCACCAACGUUUUUUCUUGUGAGAGCUACUUUUAGAAAACGAAAAUGGCCACGAGCUACUCAUUUUUGUAGAAAUGAUUUAUUUAGACGUUAUUUCAACCCAAACAGAUCAAAUAUGCUUGUUUUACCAAAAUAUUCACAAAAUGCUGGUAUCCACAACUCACAUUUUAUGUUUCAGAAUACUUUUCUUUCUAGUGUUCUCACAUUAUUAACUGAAAACCUGAAUGAAAAGCAGGCCUGCGGGCGCCCCAUGUGGUCGUGGGGGGCUACCUGGUGCCCACAGGCACCACGUUGGUGACCCCUGGUGUAAUGUGAUGUGUUUUGAGGUUUUGAGCACGUACAUCUACUAUUUUUACAAUGACUUUCUACUGUAAUGACAUCCCCCUCAAUCAUGCCACCUGCAGAGUUGAAGCGUUUCAAGUGUCAACAUGCACCUUUUUAGUGCCCAUAGUUCAAUUUGCAUCAGGACAUUGGCGUAACAAUUUAAAAAAUAUGUAUACUUUACAUAUUUUUCCAGUCAAUGUUUAUGGUUUACUGUCCUAAACACUACUGUUACAAUCCUGUCCAUACAUUACAAUGAGCUGUACUGUCUGUUCUAAAAUCGAGAUGUUUUUGUUCAUUUUUUAGAUGGUUAUAUUAUUGGUUUCCAAUAAUAGUCAAAGUUCUCAUUGCAUGCAGACUCUUUUUUUUUUUUUGGACAUGAUCUUGUUCAAACCCAUUCCACACUAUUCCUCUACUUUUCAUGUCCCCAUUUGUGAUAGGUGACAGGCCCUGUACACAAGCUCUCCUGUGGACAUGAUCUCACCAGAGAACCCAGCAGCCCAGUGAACCCACCCAUAAAUGAUUUCACUCUCAUUUAUUAAUUCACGGCUACAGUACGUAUCUGGAAUAAAAAGUCCAAGCCCAAAUUUUUGUCCCAGUCCACCCCUGCUGAUAACCUCACCACCUUCAGGAUUGACUACCAAAAAAGGCUGAUCAGAAGAUACUGGUUGGUUUUAAGUGAUGCUUGUAACAGACAAACAUUGUAAAUAUAAAAAUACUGUAAAUAUGCAAUUUGCAAUGAAAACUCCAGACGGCUCGCUGCCGUCAGCAUGAUCUGAUUGGUGAAGGAUGAUUUUCGAGGAGCACGAGCACACGAGACAAUAUAGACAGAAGAGAUGCAAAUAGUUACAUACAUUAUAACACCUGUUGACCAAACUGACACCUGUUCAAUUCACCAACAAACCCAAAUGGUCCCUUUUGGUCACCCACCAAGGUGAUCCACACAGCUAUUGCCCCAGGUCGUCCACCUGUGACUAGCAAUUGACACUUGUGUGUGAUUGUUGGUUUUACAGCCGCCAGUCUCUUUCAUGAUUGACAUGAUUUGUCCACACAUUGGGUGGGGAUAUCGAGUGCAUGAUAUCGGUGUUUUAAGUCCUGCUCAUUUAGUGCACAUUUGCGCUAAAUGGGGGAGGAAAAGCUGUUAUAAAUAUUUUACAUAACUUUUCAGUGCACUUAACUGACUAGAGGCAAACACACUCGAUGUGUUAUUGAAUUGAAGUGUUUUGCUGGAACAACUUUUAAGUUUUAAUUGAAUCACAUAUGCCUUUUUGAGUUUUAACAGUGCAGUUUGUUUGAUUAGACCUCACAUUUUAGUCUUUUCUGCUAAAAUACAGGUGGUAAAAAAGUAAAAAAAACAUUUUUGUAAUUGUAUAACAAGUCUGAACAAAUCAGAUAACAAAUGAAGAAAAUACAAAUGCAAUAUAGAGUGAAAUUUUUACUUUAAACAAUAUUAUUAGUUACACAGGCUUACGUAGUUAUCUAUUGUAGUUAACAUUUUGUACAACUUAUGUCAUGGGUCUGAUUCAACCCCUCUGUAAAUGACAUAUGUACAAACCUUCCAUAAAUUGUUGUAACCGAGCGGUUGAGGAUUCCCAAUAAUGUUGGAAGAGUGACGCGUGUACCUACGGAGCCCCGGAGGGGACAUGGAGAAAAAAAAAUAUGAUGGGUAAAAAAAAAAAAAAAGAACUAACUUUUGCUUUCCCUCGCAGAACUUUUGCGAGAUAACGCAAAACUUUUGCAAGAUAACGCAAUACUGUUUUGCGUUCCCUCGCAAAACUUUUGCGAGAUAACGCAAAACUGUUUUGCGAGGGAACGCAAUACUGUUUAAGAGCAUUGCACUUCCAUGUACAUAUACUUCCGUGCUCAGAACGGAAACAAAACAUACACGACAAUGGAGUGGGACAAGUUUAUUGAGUUUUAUUUUGAGUUGGGCCUAAAAUACAAAGAUAUUAAAACAGUGCUUAGCAGUAAGCAUGGGUUCGAGGUAAGUCAAAGACACCUAAAAAGAAUCUGCAGCGAAAGAGGGCUGUCUCGUCGCAAAGCGUAUACAGAUGUAGCGGUCCUGGUUGAUUUCAUCAAGUACCAACUGCAAUACUCCGGACAACUUCACGGGUAUAGAUAGAUGUACGCGAAAUGCAGAGAAAGUGGACUACGGGUGAGGAGAGAGGAACUGGAUCCGAGAGGAGUCGCAUUCAGGCAAGCAAGGCGCUUACGACGACGGAGGUACUUUUCCAAAGGGCCGAACUUCAUCUGGCACCUGGACUCAUAUGAUAAACUGAAGCCAUAUGGCUUCUGUAUCAACGGGAGCAUUGACGGGUUCUCCAGAAAGAUUAUCUGGAUCAACACGUACACCACAAACAGUGACCCUAAACUGAUUGGAGGCUAUUACAUCGAAGCAGUUCAACGUUUGGGGGGCUGCCCACGAAUUGUGAGGGGUGAUCCAGGCACUGAGAAUGGCCGUGUAAGAGACUUUCAGCGGUUACUCGUCCCUAUUCCUCCAAACGGUACCGUUGACAGUUACUUGGAGGGAGCCAGUACCGCCAACCAAAGAAUUGAAUCUUGUUGGGGUUUUCUACGCAGACAGUGUGUGGAGUUUUGGUUAUCUUUGUUUGCAGACCUCAGAGAUAAUGGAUUAUAUGACGGCGGGUUUCUGGACAAGGCAAUCCUUCAGUUUUGUUGCAUGGGACUCAUCCAGGAUGAGUUGGAUGACACUGCACAGGUUUGGAAUACACACACCAUCAAACUGUCAAAAAACAUCAACGUCCC